rnacentral:lncRNA from 1 species
GGGUCUCAUUCUGUCACCUAGACUGGAGUGCAAUGGCAUGAUCUCAGCUCACUGCAACCUCCACCUCCCAGGCUCAAGCAGUUCUCCUGCUUCAGCUUCCCAAAUAGCUGGGACUACAGGGAGGAAGCAAAGUGAAGAACACAGAUUUCACAGAUGGGAUGCCUGGCUCAAAUUCCAGCUUGACCGCUGGUAGCUGUGUGACCCUCGGCAAGUUACUUGACCUCUCUCUACUCAGUGUCCUCAUCUGUCAGUGUAAUAUGAAUCAGAAAACAUGAACUCAGACUGAUGCUGGAAGCCACCUUAUGACUAUAAGCAGAAUCAGCCUCGUUAUGACGUUGAUGCUAUAAGCAACGGACUGAAAGAUACAAAGAGCAAGCAGACAGGAUGAAAUGCGUAAAUGGCGACAGUAGAGCCAGCCUUCAUGAAUCCAGAAAUGUGAGCCACAUUUUGAGGAUAGCAGAGUCACUGCAGAAGCCUGGAUCCUUGCAUAACCUUGUCGAGUGGGAAAAUCUACCCAUACUUGACCAACCACCUAACUGGGGGCUCUACAUCUGAGAGAAAUGAUUUUUUAUCUUAUUUAAGCCACUGUAGUUAGGAGUCAGUUUAUUACAGGACAUUGCCUGGUGUUCCAACAAAUAAACUACCUUAUUUGUUUCAAUAAAUAAAGUGGCUUUUAUUUACUAUUUUGGGGAUGGCUAAAAAAUUAUCAAACUAGGUAGAACUAAACUAAAGUUUCAGAUGAAAGAAGAUCUUCAUAAGCAACAUCACCAUCUUGUCACAGCAGCCAAAUGGUGGCAUGUCAUUUCUUCCAGGAAAGUAUAUAUACUCUGAAUGUAUCAUGUUUCAGCAUUG